rnacentral:tRNA from 1 species
UCUUUAGUGGUGUUAAACAUAUUAUAAUUUCAUUAUAAAGUAGAAUAAAAUCUUAAAGUA